UCGAAACCUGCUUAGCAGAGCGACCUGUGAACACGUUCAACCUCAUGGGCGUUGGGGCGUUGCUCGGUGCCUAGUGUGCUGGCCCCUGCCUCUCCCAAGCUGGGGCAGCGCACACUUGUGGGCUGUUUCCUUGGCAAAAUAACGAACCCCGGCGCUUAAUGCGUCAAGCAAUACAAACAUUAUGGGGGUACUCUCCUAUUGUUCGGUUAGCCGGGCAUUGGAGCGGUGCUAUGCCUUAACAAUAAACGACUCUCGGCAACGGAUAUCCAGGCUCUCGCAUCGAUGAAGAACGUAGCGAAAUGCGAUACUUGGUGUGAAUAGCAGAAUCCCGUAAACCAUCGAGUUUUUGAACGCAAGUUGCGCCCGAAGCCUCUGGCUUAGGGCACGUCUGCCUGGGCGUCACGCAUCGCGACUCCCCCAAAUCCACCCCGAGCGGAGGGGAAGGAGGAUGGUCUCCCGUGACUCACCGGUCGCGGCUGGCCUAAAAUUGGAGCCCUCAGCAUCGGGAUGUCGUGGCGAUAGGUGGUGAGAAGGCCUCGGCCAAGCAAGCAACCCGCCGCGCGUCACCAUGCCAACGUGAGCUCGAAGGACCCUUUAAGUUGUCUAACGGCAUCCUAACUAUUGCGACCCCAGGUCAGGCGGGACUACCC
rnacentral:rRNA from 1 species